AUGAUGCGUGCGGGAGUGUAUGACCUGGUACAAGCAGCUCUCGGCGGAGCGACGAAUGGAACUCCCGCCGAGGAGCAUAAUACCACAUGCGGCGCGUGGCGGUCGGUGUGGACCCGAGCUUGGAGGGCGGAGCUCAGAGUAGAAGAGGGGAUGGAGGGCGUGGUGCAAGCCUGCAUGGAUGGUGGUAACGCCAUCUUUAUCCUCUCAUUGGAGGAGGUGGAGCUCCAAUAUCACCUUGCGCAAGUCGAGGAGGUAGAUCACAUCGAUAAGGAGGUGUGGUUCAAGUUCAAGCGCGCGGCCGCGCUCGCCGUGUUCGAACUCGUCAUCGAAAACUACACGAUCAUCAUGUCCCUUGAGGACGAGUGGGUAGUGGCGGCGAACCGUUGGUGUGCUUCCAUGACGCCGAGCGGGACCAACUCAUCACGGAGAACCCAAGCGACAAGGAGAUGA
rnacentral:rRNA from 1 species